UACAGAGGUCCCAAGCGUUGUUCGGAUUCACUGGGCGUAAAGGGUGCGUAGGUGGCGAGGUAAGUUUGAUGUGAAAUCUCCGGGCUUAACCCGGAAAUGGCAUUGAAUACUAUCUUGCUUGAGGGUUGGAGGGGGGACUGGAAUUCUCGGUGUAGCAGUGAAAUGCGUAGAUAUCGAGAGGAACACCAGUGGCGAAGGCGAGUCCCUGGACAACUCCUGACACUGAGGCACGAAAGCUAGGGGAGCAAACAGG
rnacentral:rRNA from 1 species